rnacentral:rRNA from 1 species
CCCUUAGAUGUUCUGGGCCGCACGCGCGCUACACUGAUGCAUUCAACGAGUUUCUUCCUGGUCCGAGAGGAAUGGGUAACCUUUUGAAAGUGCAUCGUGAUAGGGAUAGACUAUUGCAAUUAUUGGUCUUCAACGAGGAAUUCCUAGUAGACGUAGUUCAUCAGACUGCAUCGAUUACGUCCCUGCCCUUUGUACACACCGCCCGUCGCUCCUACCGCUUGAAUGCUCAGGUGAGCCAUUCGGACUUUCAUCAUGCUGGUUUCCAGUUUUGAUGAAGGAAAGUCUUGCGAACCUUAUCAUUUAGAGGAAGGAGAAGUCGUAACA